UGUAUGGCCAAUCCUGAAUUAAGUGCUUUAUGCACCAAAAUUCAAAUUGUAAAAAAAAUUAUAAAACGAUGAUAUUUAUUCCACCUACUUCUCGGGCAGUCGCUAAGUGCAACUGCAAGUCCCUCGCGUAUUCGUUUCAAGGCUAAACAACAAAUAGCAACAAUAAAGACAGCAAAACAAGUGCCAUAAUAAUGCCGACACAAAGUCUAAAWUUACGUCGCGGUCUUGCUCGGGUAUAUUCUUGAGUGUGUGUUGUUGCUGUAUGCACCGGAAGUGAAAGCGGGAAAAGGAAAUGCAGUGAAAGURUAUUUUUUUCGCUUGCAAAGAUAAGUAAAUUUGCGCCCAAAUGCAAGAAAUCAACAAAAAGAACAAUGCAAAAAGCACAAGUAACACCAACACAGAUCUCAUAUAUAUAGUGUUUGCYAUAAUAGUUCGGUGCUGAAAGUGCAAUAAAACGCGAGGCAUACAAAAAUAACGCAAAGAAGUGSAAAUCCUGCAAAAAGAUUGCAUACAAAAUUUUUCUUCGUCCUUUUCUAAAACAAAGCCAUAAGAGUUGAGCAGCAAAAAAAGCUGGAAGUGUGUGCAAAGCUGAAAACAUAAAAAAAUAAAUCUGAGUUCUAAAGCAAAAAAAUAAAAUAGUGGUACCCAGAAAAAWCACAGGUGGCAAUGAAAAGCAUUAUGCGCAAAGUGAAAGUAACGGAAAGUACGCGUUACUAUUUUCUCUAUAUGCCAGUGUAGUAAAGCAGUGCAUGGAUUACUCAGCAUUGUUGCCCAUUUGCACAUAAUCUUGGAUAUAUGUAUAUUCUUCUUCAAUUCUUGGAAAUAUGACAAUUUUAUAGAGAAUACUAUACWUCGGUAACGAAACGCCUGAACGCCAGCCAAGCUUUCAAUGGAACACCGCCUCCGAUUUGGAGAAUGAACUCAAAAGCGUGGCAGAAGCAGUAGCAGUAUCUCAUGCUCAUCGAGCAGCAAAGAUGGCCAAUAGUUUGGCUGGUCGGAGUGAUCGACGUGUUCACGUAGAGGCGAUGRCGGCCUCAUGCAACAAGUACGCCGUAGCUGUAACACAAACGGCGGUAAGGGCGAAAGCGUACGCUAUUGCAUCUGCAACAUACAGCCGUGUCCGGUGCAGCGAGACUUUCGUGCGCAUUAAUGAUGUGCCCUAUGAUAGCACACUCUACGCGUGGAUGCCACACUACGGCUACAUGGAGCCAUGCGCGUAAAA